rnacentral:sRNA from 1 species
AAGACCAGCUGAACUAUGCAAGUGCAAAGACGACCAAUAGUUCGACAGUUAUACAAAUCCGGAUGAGUCGUGUGAAUGUAUGUUGUCGAGGAGAGUCCUUUGGAGCAAGAGCUGGAAGAUGCUGAGGUUGCGGUGUAGUUUUCUUAAGAAUUUUCCCAAUUGAACACUUGUAGUGUUCCAUCCUUUGAACUGUUCAAGUUUAAAUUCCUGUUUAUUUUAUUUCU